rnacentral:lncRNA from 1 species
GGUACCUUCAGUUUUUCUUCUUCUUUCUUCUCCAAAAUUUCCAGCUCAACUCACCCACCUUUUCAUUUUCAACUUAACAAAAUUAGUUCAGAUGAGAGUAGAGUCAACCAAGAGAAGUCCGUUCCUCCAAGUGAGUCCUCACUUGAGCCCAAUUCGAAGGAGAUGGAGGUGCUUUAUUCAAUCCCUUUAUCAAAUGUCUUACCUACAAGGGGUUCUUGACCUGUUACAAGGUGAAGUACUCCAAGGAGAUCUAGGUACAUAGUAGGUCCAUCUGGAGGUGAGCAUGGGAGUGUGAGUAUUGAGGAGGUAGAUGUUGGCAAAGGAUGUAAGGUCAGAUCAAAGGUUUGUUGGGAAUGUCUAGGUAUCGAGUCUUUUGUGGUAGCUUGAAAUUUUGAGCAAUAACGAGGAUAUUUCCAUGCUCCCAGAUCGGUGGAAUUACUGUCUCCCUUACCUAACCAACAAGCUUGUGAUCCUCUGGACGGGAUGACUCGUAAACUUUCUUUGUUGUCUUUCGGCCUUAGGUUGCCGUUUCCUCCCGUAAUCUGUAAAUUUUUUUUUUAGCUUGGAAAAUUGCAACUACUUAGUUCCAUCCCACUGGUUGGAGGAAUCUUUUUGGUUGCCUAUACUGUGGGACAACUUGUGGUUCCUUGAGUUGGCAGUGGAGGAAUUCAAUGCUUUGCAUAAUUUCAAGGAUGAUGGAAUUGUUUAUUUAUUGAUAAAGGAGAACUAAAACUCAAGAAGAAACUCGUUCACCGCGUCAUUCGAGGGCGAGCUCAAUUGGAGGUCAGCGUCCAUUAACUCGGCAAACUCUUUCUUCGUCAACUAGGUCUUAACCUAUUUGCCUAGCUCCUCCUCAGUCCCCUGUGUUUUCUUCUCCAACUCAUUCACUGGUCGCUUCUCCAAUUUGUUCUAGUUCUUCUUGUUUGAAUAUUCCUAGGCCAAACUUGGAAAAUUAGGUUGUUAAAUGCCCAGAGGGCUUGCUGGUUUUUUGUAAAGCCACUUCACCUACUAGGUUUUCUACAUUAGCUGUUUCUCUACCACUACGAUAUUCAACUAGCCUUAUGACUCGGAGCUGGAAUUAUUACGAGCAGAGCAGUGGCGGACACAGACAAUUUGAG